GUUUACUUUUCAAGAUGUCGCAAAAAGAAAACACCGGCACGGUGAAAGUGAUCAGAGUUUAACUCGUGAUCUACGCUUGUACAAAAAUAGCUUUCCUAAUUGCGUUUGUCCAUCUCGUUCAGCGUGUACAAGACCGAUAAAAGCCGUAAAACAACUUUACAACGACGAGAUGCUGGAAUUAUCGAAUUAUCGUAACGAAGGCGAGACUCGAUAAGACUAGAGAGAGAAGGAUUCGCGGAGGAUUUGAAGAGGACGAGGAUGGAGGAGGCGAUAGAACACCUGGCUGAGGGCUGCGGACGCGGGAGUGCGGGAGUGCGAGGAUGAGCACGGAGGUCUUUCUGGACGACGCAGGAACGAGCCUAGAGAAAAUGAAAAGAAUUUCGAGGGACAAGAAGGAAAGAGGGGUAGGCGCAGAGGCGAAGGGCCGACGGGAGGAGGAAGGAGGACACCGGAGGAGGGUCGGGGGACAGGAGGAGGGAACGGCACGAAAGAAAGGGGUAAUAACAGCAGGAUAAAGUGCAGGUUUAGCCUGUAAUUAGAAAGAAAAACAGCUACCACAAUCUCAUCCGGAAUAAACAAGAAUCAUGAUCAAUUCUUUGUGCAGUAACUGACGCUACUCUCCGGUCGAGACAGCGCGCCCCAAUCGCGCUCUCGGGCCACUAUAGCUCGCCGGCAUACUUCGACUUUAUUAACCUAUUAUUGGC